ACAACCCCAGCCCAGUGGUGGUAGGAUUUUAAUAGAAAAAUUUUUAGAUUCUAUAAAGCUGUAGCCAUUACCUUAUACUUAUUCAAGAAUCAUUGUAUAACUGGAUUGGAUUUUUGUCCCUGGAUUUCUAAAACUUGUCUUUAAGGAGCUAAUAUGGGUCUUCCUCUCAUGCAAUAGGCUCUAAACACUGGUGCCAUGUGACAUCAUGGAGGUACAUGUACAUCCCUUAUGUUGGGUGCUGGGGACAGAAAAUCCUUGGUGGUGGGGGAAUUGGGGAGGCUGGAGGGCCAUGGCAGACCUUACAGGUGACUGAGCAGUACUUCCUGUAGAUUUGUUUGCAGGUUUCUUUUAUUUUUCAUUUUUUAAUUUUUAAAUUUCUUCUGGUGCUGGAACCCAGUCCUUGGACAUACUAGGCAAGCACCCUACCACUGAGCUACAACCUAGCCCUUAGUGGAUUUGUUUGUUCAGGCUGUAGCCUUGGCAUCUUUUGGAUUCUCGCACAGUGGGAUCCAUUCCCUCUCUAGUUCUGCUGUUGCUCAUAGGCUUGGGAAGGUGAGCCCUAUUAUUAGCAGAGACACAUACUGGAGCUUAGAGUUUCAAAACCUGAAGCCAAUGUGGGAACACUAGGGCUCUAUAAAAAGCAUGCCUAUGUGUUACCGAGCACUCACACAUGUUGAAUGGAGCUCUCCUGAGUUGUAGACGUGCCUUGCCCCCUCCACACAUAAAGUACAGCAGAUCCUGCUGGAAUGGGGAGCUGUUUCUCUUAAACUUUAGGAAUGGUUCCCCUUGUGUGUCUCUUGCAGAAUAAGAUGGACAGAUAUGUUUGAAGUCAGUUCCAUGAUGCUCUUUGGGUGGGGAGGUGGAAUGAGGGAUCAUAGGAGUUAAUGAGUUUGAAACCUGAUUUCCUCUAGGACAUAGCAUGAGUGUUCCAAAACGGGGAGGGGGUGCAAGCAGGACCCUCACUCUCCAGACAUUGGGGACACCACCAUUUUAAACUGGGAUUACGUGCAAGUUCCCAUUUGUAGAAUCGGAUUCCUCAUUGCCUCUACCAUGGGAUGGAGGGUUUCACAUCUUUUUUUCCCCCCCUCUCCUGAGAGAAUCAUUUCUUGGAACGGUUCAUACGAUUCUUCUGUUUUUCCAGAGAGGUUUCUUUCACCUGGAUUUUGUUAAAACUUAUUAAAUCUGACCAAAUGGGCUUGUAUGCGUUUCCCUGAAGUGAACGUUUCACCAGAGCCAAGAUGGGUUUUAGCUUUUCUGACAGCUGAUGGAUAUUUUUCAAGGCGAGUGAGAGCCUCUAAGCACCUUCUGAAUAUGAUACACACAUGCUGGUGAGAGGAGAGCAUAUGGGCCAGGUGUUUGGGGAACAGUUUGUUAAAGCCAACGAAUUUCGCAAAUGUGUUAGAUGAGGAAAAGUUCUCAGCUUUUUUCCAGUGGCAGUGGUCAGGGCUCUGUAACUGGAGGAGACCAGCGUGAGAGAACACUUUAUUUUCUGCCGUUAAGACCCAUCCAUAUGACCCCAAGCAACUGGAUAGAAGGCUGAAAAUGCUGAUUCAAUGGGUCAGUUUUAGGUGGGACAUUUUACAGAUCCACCAGACCGACUCUGGUUUUGGGUUUCAAAAGCUGGUGACAGGUGACAGAACUUAUUCAGAUGACUUGAUUAUACCCAUAGAAAUGGCCAACUUGUUUCCCUCUCUCUUAGCUAUGGUCUCGCAGCCCCAGGACCAGCUUCUGCCAAAUAAUAAAUGUACUUGGUAGGAUCAUUUCUGGGCUAUGUUGCCUCUGGCUUUUAAAGUUUGCUUUGGGCUUGCUUUUAGAGCAAGUUUGCUUUGGGCUUGCUUUUAGAGCCUUUGAUCUCUUAUUGCUCGGUGUUUGGACUUUCUUGAACACUAAAGAGCCCUCAUCAUAUUUUGAAAGAGCACGUUAAGAAUCUCGAAGGUGGCUGGGUCUAGUGGCUUAAGCCUAUAAUCCCAGAGAUUUAGGAGGCUGAGGCAGGAGGAUCACAGGUUCCAAGCCAGCCUCAGCAGUUCAGUGAGGCUGUAAGCAACCUAGUGAGACCCUGUCUCAAAAUGAAAAGGGCUGGGGAUAUGGCUCAGUGGUUAAUUUAAGUGCCCUUGAUUUCAAUCUCUGGCACCCACAAAACAAAACAAAACCAAAAACUCUCUAAGGCUUGCUUCUUCCCUAGAAAGUCCUGAAGAAGAAGAUCUACGGCUAUUUCUAUUCUCCAGCCUUAGAGUCCCUUCUCUCCCCAUUGCUCUGAGCUAUGUUCUGAGCUCUGUACUUCUUCAAUGUCAACACCUAGGCCCUGUGUGGGCUUUGGGGGUCUGUGGAUGUCUGAAUUAAAUAUUUUACCUUCCUCUGAAAAUCUGGCUCCUUUCUCAGAAGCCAUCACAGCCCAUUUGCCCCAUGGACAUUCUCGGGUCCCCUCUGGACCUAGACAUUGGGGGCUGUUCCCAAAGCAAUUCACUUGCUUCCUUCCAGGCAUUGCAAACUGAGCAUUUGUGAGAUCCCUGCCAGCAGGGGCUCAAGAUUUUCCCUUCUCUAGAGUGUCCUGAAGUUUCAGAAAUAUUGGUAUUCUCCAUGGUUUCAUUUUGAAAAAAUUUCCAAUUUAUAGAAAGGUCAAAAGAAUAGGUCCAUGAACAUCUGUAUCUCUUUGCCUCGUUUGCUAACAUUCUGCUGAUUUGUGUUCUUUCUCCAUAAAAAAAUUGUUUUUUAUCUUUCUUUCUGAGCCAUUUGGAAGUAAGGUACCAAUACCAUGAAACUCACCCCUGAACACUUCAGCAAAGAUCUUCCAAGAAUGAGAACAUUCUCCUAUGUAAGCAAAGUGUUAUCAUAUGGAAGAAAUUGAACACUCAAUUGCCUAAUGUACAAUCCAUAUUCAAAUUUCCCCAAUUGUUCCCACAUGCCCUUUAUGGCUUUCAAAAAAAAAAAAAGUCUAGGAUCCAGUCAAAGUUCACACGGUUCAUUUGGUUUGAUAUCUCUUUUAUUUCUUUUAACGGAGGAAGUCCCCCCUACUUUGCUUGCUAUUUUCUCUGGACUCUUGGAAGAACCCCCAUCAAUUGUCUUAUGGACUGUUCUACAAUCUCUUUGUCUGUUUCCUUCUGAUUAGACUCAGGUGAACCAUGUUGGCCAUUUCUAUAGCAUUACAUGUGGGGCACACGCUUGGCCUAUUGUCCCUGCCAGCUCUGACUAUGGACAGGCAGGGGCCACCAGACCUCUCAUUACACUCUUUGUCUCUGUAAUUAGAACUCCAUGGGUGAAACUCUUGAGACCAUGCAUUUUAUUCCCCAGCAACCUUUCACCCAAUAGCUUUAGGGUGAUCCAUUGGUGAUUUUUUUUUUUUUUUAAAGAGAGAGUGAGAGGGGAAGAGAGAG
rnacentral:lncRNA from 1 species